GUGUCAGCAGCCGCGCCGGUACACCGGGGGAGCCAGCGUGUCGGAUCACUGGCGUAAAGGGCGUGUAGGCCGUCCGGUAAGUGAGAUGUGAAAGCCCCCGGCUCACCCGGGGAUGUGCAUUUCAUACUGCCGGGACUUGAGUGCGGAAGAGGAUGGGGGAAUUCCUGGUGUAGCGGUGAAAUGCGUAGAUAUCAGGAGGAACACCGGUGGCGAAGGCGCCCAUCUGGUCCGUUACUGACGCUGAGGCGCGAAAGCUAGGGGAGCGAACGGGAUUAGAUACCCCGAUAGUCCUAGCCGUAAACGGUGGGCACUAGGUGUUGGAGGCAUCGACCCUUCCAGUGCCGCAGCUAACGCAUUAAGUGCCCCGCCUGGGGAGUACGGCCGCAAGGCUGAAACUCAAAGGAAUUGACGGGGGCCCGCACAAGCGGUGGAGCAUGUGGUUUAAUUCGACGCAACGCGAAGAACCUUACCGGGGUUUGAACCGCACGGGAUCGCUCUAGAGACAGAGUUUUCCUUCGGGACCCGUGUAGAGGUGCUGCAUGGCUGUCGUCAGCUCGUGUCGUGAGAUGUUGGGUUAAGUCCCGCAACGAGCGCAACCCUUGCCCCUAGUUGCCAACGGAUAAUGCCGGGGACUCUAGGGGGACAGUCGGCGAUAAGCCGGAGGAAGGUGGGGAUGACGUCAAGUCCUCAUGGCCCUUACAUCCCGGGCUACACACGUGCUACAAUGGCCGGUACAACGAGUUGCGAUACCGUGAGGUGGAGCCAAUCUCUAAAAACCGGUCUCAGUUCGGAUUGCAGUCUGCAACUCGACUGCAUGAAGUCGGAAUCGCUAGUAAUCGCGGAUCAGCACGCCGCGGUGAAUACGUUCCCGGGCCUUGCACACACCGCCCGUCA
rnacentral:rRNA from 1 species